ACAAAUUCAUCGAUAAAUGAUAGUUAAUAAAUGUGUGACUGGAUUUUCUUCUUCCUUCUCUUUUCCUCUUCUUUUUUAUGUAUUGCUUCAUCCUUUUCUUCUUCUUUUUUUUUUUCUGUAUUUCUUCAUCGAUAAAUGAUCGUUAAUAAAUGUGCUACUUCCAAGUCAUUUUCAUCUUUUGGGAUUCAUCUUUCUCCUAUUUGCCUUUAGGUCUUUCUUCUUCCUCUUCUCUAACUCUAGCAAUCACCGUUACUGUCAUGGAUUCAUAUAUGUGUCACUGAUGCGAUUGAGUCACCUCCUCUUCCUUUUCUUCUAUUCCUCUUCUUACUUAUCUCCUUUUAAGAUAUAUAUAAAAAAAAUCAAUCAAAUUGAU
rnacentral:lncRNA from 1 species